GUUAAUAUGGCAGAAUUAAUGCAUUAAAUUUAAGCUUUAAAGAUAGAAAAUAUUAUUUUCUUAUUAAUA
rnacentral:tRNA from 1 species